UGCAAAAAAAUAAAAUUGAUGUCAACCAAGAAAGUUUAAUACUAUGUGUAAUGUUAAUUUCACAUUGUCAGACUCGUGCGGUUUUUCCGAAAUUCCGUUACGACAAUGAAGCGGUAACCCGCCAUUUCAAACGGUAAAAUUUGUAACUGAAAUGCAAAACAUGUUUUGUCGUGCAAAACUACGCAGAGUUAAUAAUAAAUGCAUUGAAUUUGCAUUUUAAAAAAAUUUUGUUUUAUAAAAAACGCAUGGCUGUGUGAGGAUCCAUUUUAAUUUUGCAGAGAUUUGAAUGCAUUGUUUUUAUUCUCGAUUGUUAAUACUGAUUUCAGUUUUCUGUGACAGAAGUAACCUGUAGUUGGAACGUAAAGAUAAACUACUCUUUGGAAUGCUAUUAUGCUUUAGAAGGGCAUAUAUGAUAUGAGAAUGAUUCAUAUCAUGUAUUGUAUUUGGAUAAUCAUUUUGGAUUGACUGGUAUAACGUGACAUGAGAUUUAUUGUGUUAUUGAUAAGUAAAUAAGCUAACUAAGCUUAGUAAAUAAAAAUAAGUUUCAUAUUUGAAAAGCGAAACUUGACGUUGUGGCAGUUAGUAACUUAUCAGCACUUGAAGGUGCUAUUGAUCAGAUUCGGGAACAUAAAGUAAGGUUAAGCACAUAAGAAAUAUAACAUUCAACAUCAAUAAAAACACGUGUGGUAUAUGCAAGUACCAACAAAUCCUAAGGGAGACGACCACACUUAAAUGAAUUUGAAAAAUAAAGUCCCACUAUUCUAUGUUCAGAUGUGACUGGUAUUUUUAGCAAUAAUGUUCAUUAGAUGUUAUAAUUCACAUCUGUUUAAUGAGGUUCCUUCUGGGAUUGUGUUAGCAAAUAAAAAUUGAACUUAACCAACCAAUCACUUGCCUUAUUUUACUCUAACUAUAACCAAAGCACACCAUGCGUUUCAUCUGAGCGGUGUUUUGUAUGCCAUGAUUGGUUCACUUUUGUAAAGUAUCAUUUUAAUUGAGGUGAAACUGAUGCACAUGUCAAUGAAAGUUAUUGUUAAUAGAAUGCAGAUGAAGAAUAAUUUGAGAAGGGCUUAUCAUCAACAGGUUUUCAUUCAUGAAUGUGAUAUAGUAUGGAAUGAGCAGAUUUAUUAAUCAUGUUGUAAAAGCCGCUUCAACCAAAUAUUUAUAAAUUGUACUUAAAUACAUACAACACAAAUCCGAUUUAAGCCAACUAAACGUUUCUGCAAAUAAAAAUGAUAAAGUGAUCAGUUAUAACGAAUCAGAGAUAAACUUUCAACUUGAACUUGAAAACUAACAAUUAAAGUUCUUCUAAUAUAAAAUGAUAUAUUAGAAAUUAUUGCAAUGAAACGAAUUUAACUUGAAUUUGGAAUGGAGUGAAGUAAGAAAUUAAUAGCAUCUAAUAACACCUAUCAAGUAUCAUGGCAACAACUUUAAUCAAAUUUGUGUUCAUCAGUUAAAACUUCAUUACUUCAUGUAGUAUUAAUACACACAAGUAACGUAAUUUAUCUUUAUUACAUCCUCUCAACUCGAUUGUUGAAAAAUUUUAACAGUUUCCAGAAAUAGCUCACUAUUUAUAAAUGCCAGACAUCAUUUUGAUGAACAAUAUAGAUAUCAAGGAAUAACUUGGUAGGAAUAACUUCAGUCAAAUUUAUGUUCAUCAAUUAAAGCUUUAGUGUUAAGCACAGUAGUGAGAAGCAGUAAUUCACCUAUGAUAGUGAUGAGACCUUUAUAGGAUUGAGUUACAUUUGUCAGGAAUCAAAUAAGUUCGAAAGGAAAAAACACCAUUGCCUGUGUGAAGCUUCUUUAAAAUGAUCUGAUAUCAAUUAAAAUGCUUAACUCAACAUGUCUUUUCCAUCUAUUUAAAAACAUCAGACAUCAUUCAGCACAAUUUUACAACAACUGCAAGUUAUGAGGUAAACAAUACAUU